UCUAUAUUUUUUUCUAUCACACGUGUACUAUGUGAAUCAUUAUAAAAUCAUCCUUUUUAUAUUCCAAGACAUAAUAAAUCUCAUUUUAUUCUGCUUCGUUCUGUCAAGAUAUAUUAGGCGAUAAUUAUUAUACAAGAUUAUAAUUAUAUGUAUAGACAAAAAUAUCUUUAAAGUCAAGAGGUGCUCUCUUUCUCUGUGUGUGCACUCCCACCGCGUCGCCCUCAGCGCCUAUCCUAAGUGACGGGCUCGAUCAACGGCGCACUCGGCCUUAGUCGCGUGCCGUUAGUCCGUUGCGAAUCAACGCAGUUGUUAUAUGUACGUGGAAGUCGGCACGGUCCGAUUCGGCGGUGUCCCAUUUCGCGAAUCGCGCCGACAUAGCGCGAUGCGUAUCGCUUCCUCGCUUACGUGAUCCGCAUCGCUUAUUAAGCCAUUGAAAAAACGCAGUUGCAUAAUGUAAUGCUGAUAGACGGAUACGCUUUUUAAAAGUGAGAAAAGACAAAAGAUUUCUUUUCGAAUCGAUUGGAAUUAAUAGGCGAUCCUUUGAACAAGUGUAUGUAUAUUGGACGAGGAUAAUCCGACCGAUCUUUUCCGCGAAAAAAUGUGAGAAUAUUGUGAGUGUAAAGAUUAAAUGUGAGAUCGAUACGAUGGUUAACUGAAUCCAUUAUUCUCAUCAAAGAGCAAAAAAAAAAUUGAUUUUGAGAAAGUUUAAUAUUUCAACUUUUUAUAAAGAAAUAAUAGAUAUAUUAAUUUCGUUAAAUAAGAACGUGUAUGCAUAGAGAUACACAAGUUACCAAUCGUAAAAAUCUAUGCAAACUAUUAUUCAUCGUGAAAAGAGAGAAAAUAAAAAUCUGAAACUUUUAUAACUUAUAUAUGUCAUUAAUUUAAGUAUCAAUAAUUAAUAAUUUUUAUAAACAAUGCAGUGAAACGAGAUUGAUAUUUAUCGAAUACCAAACAUUGGAAGCAAUCUAUUAUCGCGAGAUAGUAAUAAAACUUAAAAGGUUUAAUAACACACACAUACUGUAUCAUUAAUAAUUUUAAUGUGAACAGUAAUUUUUAUAAACAAUAUGAAAUUGUAUAUAAAGUAUCACGUAUAUUAUAUUUGAAAUCAAUUAUAGAUAUAUAAAAACUCUAUAAAUAUACGAUUAUAAUUAAUCUUUGAAAUAAAAACAUAGAACUUGGAAUUAUAUAAGAAAUAAUAAACAGUACAUCACACUAGUUCGAAUGCCGAUGAUGAUUUUUAUGAACAGUUUUUGUGAAUAGUGAUCGACGAUAAAAUAUAUUGAUCGUAUGCAAAAAAAUCGGGACAAUCUGUAAUUUCGGGGAACCCAAGAUAGUACAGACAGUUAUUGAAUUUCGAGUAAUCAUCGAUCCUACGAACAUAACUCGAAGAAGGAUCUAUUGAUGCAAUCUCGAUUCACAGAUACAAGAACAAGUUCUGGAAAAAAAAAAGAUCUAUACCUAGAUGACAAAUAUUUAAAAGGAUUCGAGAAUUCAUAAUCGGUGCCUAAAUACAUUCUAUACAGAAAAUCUAGAAGAAUUAUAUACGUGAUAAAAAAUUAACAAUUCCUUUCAAAUGUAAAGUAAAUUCCCUGAAUGAAGAAGAAGCAAAAGAAUAAGUCAAGAUGAACGAGGUCUUACGAACUAAAGCGUGAUGAAUAACAGUAAUAAAGAACUCUUAUCUGUGAUUUAAAACAAACAUAUGCUACAGAAAAAAAAAAA